rnacentral:rRNA from 1 species
UGAACGCUGGCGGCAUGCUUUCCACAUGCAAGUCGAGCGGCAGCGCGGGGGCAACCCUGGCGGCGAGCGGCGAACGGGUGAGUAAUGCAUCGGAACGUAUCCUCGAGUGGGGGAUAGCCCAGCGAAAGUUGGGCUAAUACCGCAUGAGCUCUGAGGAGGAAAGCGGGGGACCUGCGAGGGCCUCGCGCUGGAGGAGCGGCCGAUGUCCGAUUAGCUAGUUGGUGGGGUAAAGGCUUACCAAGGCGACGAUCGGUAGCUGGUCUGAGAGGAUGAUCAGCCACACUGGGACUGAGACACGGCCCAGACUCCUACGGGAGGCAGCAGUGGGGAAUUUUGGACAAUGGGGGCAACCCUGAUCCAGCCAUGCCGCGUGAGUGAAGAAGGCCUUCGGGUUGUAAAGCUCUUUCGGACGGAACGAAAUGGGCGGGACUAAUACUCCUGUCUGAUGACGGUACCGUAAGAAGAAGCACCGGCUAACUACGUG